rnacentral:lncRNA from 1 species
GUAAGGUAAGAAUAUCCAUCUCUGGUGCUUGUGUUUAUGGGCCCACAUACAUUACUAUGUACUAGAUCCAGAAUCUCACCAACCUAUUCACCCUUUUUGGUAAAGGAUGAUUUUAUCAUUUUUUUCAAAAGAAGGCAGGAUUCACAAGCCGACAAUGAUUCACAAUCAUUGAUAUCGAAGACUUUCUCUUUGAUUAACUUGUUUAUCCUGUUCUUGUUUAUAUAACCGAGCCAAUAACGUUGAGAUAGUCUCAGCAUACCUUAGACCGUGCACUGCCACCCA